rnacentral:rRNA from 1 species
UACGUAGGGGGCAAGCGUUGUCCGGAUUUAUUGGGCGUAAAGAGCGUGUAGGCGGUUCGGUAGGUCCGUUGUGAAAACUCGAGGCUCAACCUCGAGACGCCGAUGGAAACCCCCGAACUAGAGUCCGGAAGAGGAGAAUGGAAUUCCUGGUGUAGCGGUGAAAUGCGCAGAUAUCAGGAAGAACACCCGUGGCUAAGGCGGUUCUCUAGUACGGUACUGACGCUGAGACGCGAAGGCGUGGGGAGCGAACAGG